rfam:Pseudomonas sp. Bc-h sc_017, whole genome shotgun sequence.
GGGUUUAACUCCUGCUUGUUACCGUUUCAUCUGACCGAAGCCGGAUGUCGUUUUGGUGUCUGAUUCGGUAAGGAACCGGGAGCACCAUCUGCGUAGGCUUGUGUUUUAAGACUUUCGCCGCCUACGGUCUUGGAUAGCCCCCGCCAGGCAGGGACCCCAAUAUUUGCAAAGAUGCGGUUACCCGCACCC